AGUAAACCAGAUGAAUCAACGUCUUAUCAGUGAAUCUGACCGGCUUAUGAGAAUCCCCGUGUACUGUUCAUCGUUAUGGGGCUAUGGCUGUUCAAAAUCUCUAUUCUCAAGCAAAAGUUACAUUUGGUCCAUGGAUUCUAUUAUAACUUGGAUAUGGAGACUUUGACAGGGAAAGAAAUGGAACGCAUUACUAUUAGUCGGAAUUCCGCACUAGUUCGUGAACAGGUUAUCCAAGAAGAAACUUGGAGAAGAAUAAUGGCUGUCAAAUGAACCUUACAAGAUUGAGUUACUUGAAUGAAGAACCCAUUAUAAUCUAUCAUCACAUAGGUAUGAAUUUUAUAGACUCGUUAGUGCAAAAAAAAUAUAAUAGGCGAUGAAAGGUGGGAUCUUUGUGUCGAAUCCGGUGGAAACAUUAACAGGGUGAGCUAUUGAAUUUGAAUCAGUUGCAAGAGGAGAUUUAAAGACGGGCGGGCGUCAAGGGAGAAAGUAGAAACAGAAUGGGAAUCAAAAUGGUAUAUGUAAAUGUAAUGCCAAGUGGCUCAUCGCAAUUAAGGAGUAUAAUCUGCUUUACAUUCAGUUCUUGGACCGGCUCACACCCUUCUAAACCCCAAAUUUCUACCUUUUCAACAACCCUCCUCUUAACCAUUCAUAUAU